GGCAGGGUAGCUUAGUGGUUAGAGCGUUGGACUAGUGAUCUUAAGGUUGCAAGUUCGAAUCCCCGAGCUG
rfam:Salmo salar isolate Sally breed double haploid chromosome ssa13, whole genome shotgun sequence.